GUAGCAUCAGUGACAAUUAUUCUUGGACAAGAAACAGUUGGAACAAUAAUAAAUCUCUGCUGGCAUGUCUUUUAUAAAGAACAAAAAUGGCUUUAAUCCACACACACCCACAAAUAAAACACUAACUAAAGUCUUGUUGAAGAAACAACACCGACCAAAAGACUGAAAUCACAGGCAGAGCACGUUUAUAAAGACAGAUCUUACACAAAAGGCAAGGUUACAAGGAAGUACACAGACAAAUUGCAUGACCAAUGUAAACACAUGCAUAUUCCUCACAAAUGAACUGUUUUGCAAAGUACAGAUGUGAGGACAUUUAGGCCCCUUUCAUUAGCUGGCAUAUCCCAUAUGUCAGCUGGUAAAAGCAUAGAUGUGACGAAAGGCUCUUCUGAAAGAUGUACUUUUUCUUUGACCACAACCAAAGUCUAAAUAGAAGAAGUUGAAAAGUCAGGGUGGCUCAAAAGAUAAAUGGCUGGCUCGACAUAUGAGCUGUGACUGAAAUUCUCAAGACAAUUUAGCAAAACAGUGUUCAAGUCAUUUCAGUUGACAGAAAGCAGGGCAAGGAAAGUGUAGUCAUUUAGUUAGUAAAACAAGAACAGACUACUUAUUCAAACUUGACUGCUACGCUGGUGCAGUCAAAUAUAGGCAAAGGUGAUAAUUCCAAGAAUAAAAAUACAACCCUAAA